CCGUGCAGCCGGGGCGUUAGCGGUGUCCUGUACCUACAAUCCGCUCUAGUAGGGGUGAUGUUCGACUGAGGGUUUUCGCUUGUAUAGCUGCCCUUUAUAAGUGGCGUUGAAGUUUGGGUCUUACGCAAUGGGAAUCUAUGAACCGUGUCAGGUUGGGAACAAAGCAGCACUAAGUAGAACCUCUCAUGUGCCGUAAGGGUGCCUGGCGGAGUUAACUGUAAAGGUAACGUAUGUGGGUUCGAUUCGAGGAAGAAUGCACGG
rnacentral:SRP_RNA from 1 species